AACGAACGCUGGCGGCAGGCUUAACACAUGCAAGUCGAGCGCCCCGCAAGGGGAGCGGCAGACGGGUGAGUAACGCGUGGGAAUCUACCCAUCUCUACGGAAUAACGCAUGGAAACGUGUGCUAAUACCGUAUACGUCCUUCGGGAAAAAGAUUUAUCGGAGAUGGAUGAGCCCGCGUUGGAUUAGCUAGUUGGUGGGGUAAAGGCCUACCAAGGCGACGAUCCAUAGCUGGUCUGAGAGGAUGAUCAGCCACACUGGGACUGAGACACGGCCCAGACUCCUACGGGAGGCAGCAGUGGGGAAUAUUGGACAAUGAGCGCAAGCCUGAUCCAGCCAUGCCGCGUGAGUGAUGAAGGCCCUAGGGUUGUAAAGCUCUUUCACCGGUGAAGAUAAUGACGGUAACCGGAGAAGAAGCCCCGGCUAACUUCGUGCCAGCCGCCGCGGUAAUAC
rnacentral:rRNA from 1 species